AUUUGCCUACGGGGCGCAGCAGUGAGGGAUAUUGGUCAAUGGGGGAAACCCUGAACCAGCAACGCCGCGUGAGGGAAGACGGUUUUCGGAUUGUAAACCUCUGUCCUCUGUGAAGAUAAUGACGGUAGCAGAGGAGGAAGCUCCGGCUAACUACGUGCCAGCAGCCGCGGUAAUACGUAGGGAGCGAGCGUUGUCCGGAUUUACUGGGUGUAAAGGGUGCGUAGGCGGCCCUGCAAGUCAGAAGUGAAAUCCAUGGUCUUAACCCGUGGACUGCUUUUGAAACUGCAGGAGUUGAGUGGAGUAGG
rnacentral:rRNA from 1 species